rnacentral:rRNA from 1 species
GACGAACGCUGGCGGCGUGCUUAACACAUGCAAGUCGAGCGGAGCGGCGAACGGGUGAGUAACGCGUGAGUAACUGCCCCCCUCUCUGGGAUAACAGUUGGAAACGGCUGCUAAUACCGGAUAGUGGGAGAUGACUCGCGUCCGAUCAGCUUGUUGGUGGGGUAGGGGCCUACCAAGGCGACGACGGGUAGCCGGCCUGGGCGGGCGAACGGCCACAUUGGGCUGAGAUACGGCGCAAAGUCCUACGUGAGGCAGCAGUGGGGAAUAUUGCACAGUGGUGGAAACCCUGAUGAAGAAACGCCGGGUGCGGGAUGACGGCCUUCGGGUUGUAAACCGCUUGCAGCCAUAACGCGGUAGUGGCAGAAGAAGCACCGGCUAACUACGUGCCAGCAGCCGCGGUAAUAC